CCGACCCUACGUGGGCGGCUGUGCAGGGAGCGGAUACUCGCAAGCCUCGGACACACUGUUAAGUGUUACAGUGUUAGGGGAGAGCUGGGUGAGGGGACCUGGAGAGGUAGGGGGCCUGGAAAUGCCCCUGACGGAGAACUUGUGCUGACCGGGAGAAGGUGGCACGGAAGGGCACCAGGCAUUCCACAGGCCAUUUCUCCAUGUGCACGCACUUCCAACACACACCUUCUCAGCUGCCACCUUCUGACCAAAGAGAAGAGGCCCUCCAAGGAGAACCUGUACCCUUGCCCCAGCCUCACCUUCCUAGGAAGCAGUGUCUGGAGUCGGCAGUUUCCCGCCUCCCCAACUGCAUGUCCAGCCCAGUGAGAGGCAGGGCCUCUGGUGCAAUUCCCAAAGCAUUCCUUGCCUUUUCUCCAUGGUCACCAUUCAUAACUCACGUUCGUUUUAAUGGGUUACAUGCUCAUCAACCACAGGCCAUUACCGCCCUUACCGAGAGGUCCGGGGGGGUGACAUUCCUGGCCAGCCCCUUGCUAGUAAGGAACAGGUAGUACCCAGGAAGCAAGUCGCUCUAGUUCUAACCUCACAGGAAGCCGGCCUCUGCAUCCUCCUCCAUUCCAGCAGAGAAAAUUCCUGUGAAGUGGGCCCUAGCUUGGGCAUUUACAGGCUGCCAGCUGUGUUCCACCCCUGGAAGCUGAUACCUUUCAAUAGAGUCCUUUUAUGAGAGCUCAGUGAGAAGGUCUGUCAGGAAAUGCAGAUUCCCGUACAGACAAGGUCAUGGGAAUUUCUAUUAUUUUCACAAAACCCAGAAGCUAUGGGUAACCCAAAGACUUAAAGUCUAAAGAUGGUGGCGUUUUAAACAUGAAUAUUAAAAAAAAAAUCAUUUUUGUUUUGAGUUUGGCUAGAUUCUCUAUCCAUUUUUGGCUUAAGUGUUACUUUCAUUCUACUGAAAUGAUGGAGAGACAGGCUUACGGUCACUAGGUAGUUGAGCUGAAGGUGCAGGGAGAAUUGUUCAGAAAGGAAGCCUGGUUUUCAGAAGCCAGACAGAGCUUCUUCACCGUUCUGUGCUCCUUACACGUCAACUGGAGCCUCUUAGGUGUCAGGCAGGCACCCUGGAAGGCACAGGGAAGUACCAGUCUCUGCCCUCUGUCAUUUACAUGCUGGUAGCGAUCAGAAUCUGAAUUGGAAGCUGCCUGGCGGGCCCAGUGGAAUAGCUUUUCUGGGGAGUGGAAGGUAUCCUUGAUCACAGAGCUUUGCUGUCGAAUCCUGGAGUCCUGCAACAUGGUGAUGCCUCAGUAGUUUGUGAGCCUGAUCACAUCCGAUGGCUUGUUUUAGUGGGAAGAGCAAGGAGACCCAGGACCCAGACCCAAAGCUGCCAAGGUUAGAUCUCGGCCUAACUCUGUUCAUUGCCCCCAGUUUUUCUGGCCUGCAAAAUGAGGGGGUAGGGUUGUCACAUCUAAAACUAUUCUGUUUUUGCUAUGCCCAUUGGGUGGAGGGGUGAGGGUGGGACUGCCCAUUGCUGGCAAGAAACUGGGAGCAGUAGCAAGCAUGGUGAGGGCUGGGGAGCUGGUCAGGGUAGGGUUCUCUCCUGUUCGAAGAAGCUUUCACCAUGGACUUCAUUAUCUUGUCAGAAGUGGUGUGAAUGAGUUUCCACCAGGGAUCCCUUCAUCCCAAACAGCAACAUAAAACACACCCUAAGCCUCAGAGUAAAAUUGAUGUGGGGUUAUCCUUUGGCCAUUGGGUCAUCCGUGCUGCUCCCCACUCAUUUCUGAUGGGUUUGCAAAGGUGUCUUUUGCCAGGGUAGGCCACAGUGAGUUUCCUGUACUAUGUGCCUAGGUUUCAGGCACUGCUUCUGUAGGGGAGAUGGAAGCAGCCUUCCUCCACCCUGAUACUUGGCAGCAUUCCUCUGGGCCAGGGUCAGCUCGUUCCUCUUACCAAACACGUGAAGCCUGCAGUCCAAGCUGCCCGGAGCCAGAGGUCAGGGAGUAAGCACAGCUGCCCCCUCCAAGGAGUAGCUUGCACGGGGAGCCAGGAGAGGAAAAGGGGUACAACGGCGUUGGCAUACAUUCUGGAUCUUGAAGAUGAUCUUGUGAUGUUGGCUGAGCCACGGUCGCUCCCCUUGUGAAGGGCCCACCCUAUAUCCUAAAUUCUGGAUCCUUCAAAGUCCAGCCACAGAGUUUGCAUUAAGCAAAAGGCUUAAUACGUGAGAAAGGAAGAGGCCAGGGAUGGGAGCAGUGCGGUGCUCUCCUAAAUGAAUGGAAUCAUUAGUAGGAGCACCCUGGCUUCAGGCAGCAUGCUCUCUCCUUAUCCCAGCAGGGCGACCAUCCCCUUAACUCAGAGGGGAGCUUUAUCUGCUUUAAAGUGGAGCACGGCAUGCUGGAGUUUCUUGCCCUCGUGCCCUGUCGUUAACCUGUCAGAGCCACAGUCCCAGGCUCCGUAAAAUGGAAUCGGUUUCUCAGUAAACUUGGCCCAUGUUCAUAGCAAUGUUCAGCCAUUUGGGUUUGAAGAAAGCCGCGUUAAAGCCAAGACCCCGUUUGGAGCAAACUGCCUUGUUCCUUGCUGUGUGGAAGGUUCUGUCCCCACAGCUAAACUCCAGUUCCUCCCCAAGCACCCUGGCCUCAAAAUCCUGGCUUCCCCACCAAGUCAGUGCUAUCUGACCUGAGCCAGGCCGCCGCUUGGUGCCUCUACGGGCCACUGUGCGUGUUGAGAAUCGCUGAAAAGGAGCAGUGAGCUCCUGACCCUGGUGAGGCCAUAAUGAACACUGAAGUGCACAGACCAAGGGAUGUAAUUGAAAGGCAAUUUAUAUUUUUGUGAAGAUGCUAUAAAAGUAGCAUUCCCCUUCCCCUCUCAGCCUCCUCCUAUCCCCCCCCUAUGGUAUUUCACCUCCUCUCCUCAAGGCCAGACUUAGUGAAAGGCGUUGGCUCACCUUUGUGUGCUGGCGCUUACCUCUGGGCUGGUGGAGAGGACUGAGAUGUCUGGUUUGGUAGGUAGGGGUGGGUGCAGGAGGUAGGGGGGAUCCCAUUUUCUCGCAUCACUGUGAGGGGGCUCCAGGCCCUGUCCCUGGAGAAAUAAUUGCUGCGCAGAAGUCACAGGCCAUACUGGGCAGUUCUGGUACAAACCUGCCCUUAAAAAUAAUAACAAUAAUAAUAAUAACCCCAUUUACAUAGGACUGUCACUCAUUCCUGCCAGUCUGCUGUCCCUACCUUGGUUUUUGCUGGCCCCAACCACUGGCCUUGUUGAGUACUGAUGGGCCCUGGACUCUUCUCUUUGCUUCUGGAGCUCUUCAGAUGCUGCUCCCCUGAGAAUAACUCUGGGGAGGGAGCAGCCAAAUUCCCAGUCCGAUAGAAGGUCCACACAAUCUUGUUAGCAACAGUGACCCGGAAAAUUUUGCUGCAUCCAAUUUCACCAGAAGAGGCCCAGGACUCCCUGUGGUCACAUUUUCUAUCCGGCCAUUCUUGGGAUUACAACCUCAGUUUCUAGCUCCAGUUGAAUUUUCUCCACCCACACCCCAGAAAUAAAUGGAUCCAUGAUGAUAAUUAAGAGAAGAGAAAAAAGAUAUUAUUUUUGUUAGGACAAACCAUCGUAGAUUUUUAGCAAUGUGUAUCUGUGUGUUCCUCACACCUUUUCCUAUUCUGCCUUUUUUUUCCUUUUUUUUUUAAAUAUUAUGUACUAUAUUUUUAGUCUCAAACACACUAUAUAUUAUAUAUAUUUAAUUUUUUUAUAUAUAUAAAUAUAAAUGUUUUAAAAAGUA